rnacentral:rRNA from 1 species
CAGCCGCCGCGGGAAUACGAAGGGUGCAAGCGUUACUCGGAAUUACUGGGCGUAAAGCGUGUGUAGGUGGUUGUUUAAGUCUGUCGUGAAAGCCCUGGGCCCAACCUGGGAAUUGCGAUGGAUACUGGGCGACUAGAGUGCGGUAGAGGAUAGUGGAAUUUCCGGUGUAGCAGUGAAAUGCGUAGAGAUCGGAAGGAACAUCUGUGGCGAAGGCGACUAUCUGGGCCAACACUGACACUGAGACACGAAAGCGUGGUGAGCAAACAGGAUUAGAUACCCGAGUAGUCCCUGUCUCUUAUAC